UUGUUUUUUUGUAUGAAACAACAGUACGUAUAUCCUGUACUGACAGAAACCUAGCUUAUUUUGAAUGAAGAAGAAGAAGAAGAUGCAUCGUUAUGACUUACGACAAGAAGAUUGGUUGUGUUUCCAGAUAUGUACUUUACCUGGAAGCGGUGCAGCAUAUAUGUACUCGAAUUGUAAGCAGCGGAUAUAUACUCGAAUUUGUAAGCAGUGCGACAGAUAUGUACUCAGAUUUGUAAGCAGUGCGGCAUAUAUGUACUCAAAUUUGUUAGCAGAUAUGUACUCGAAUUUGUGAGCAGUGUACCAGAUAUGUACUCAAAUUUGUAAGCAGUGUAGACACACACGUUUG